UGUCAUUUGCACAUCUGCAUAAUUUACAAACCCAAAGAGCUCCCAGAAAUCCCCUUUGGUUUACAAUAAAGCUCUAAUUAGUUAUUUAAAAAAAAAAAAAAAAGAAAGAAAGAAAAAAGGAACUGCACUGAGGCAAAUACAAAACACUUGGACGAGAGCAACAUUUGUGUGGGGAUCCACCAGGGAGGCAGGCCAGACCCAGCUGAGGAACUGGCAACAACCCAGCUACAAAAUGCUGCUAAGAAGAGAUAAAGGAGUCAGCCUUACCAGCAGAUCUCUCCCUGCUUCCUCCUACAGAAGUUUGCCUCCUGCCAAGAGGACCUUCAACAAGUCUUCGCUGCCUUUGGAUCUUCCAGAUGGAGAGAAAAGAGCAUAGGACAUAAUCUAACACUACAUGGCUUAGG